GAUGAACGCUGGCGGCGUGCCUAAUACAUGCAAGUCGAGCGAACAGACGAGAGUGCUUGCACUCUCUGACGUUAGCGGCGGACGGGUGAGUAACACGUGGGUAACCUACCUAUAAGACUGGGAUAACUUCGGGAAACCGGAGCUAAUACCGGAUAAUAUUUAGCUUCGCAUGAAGCAAUAGUGAAAGACGGUUCUGCUGUCACUUAUAGAUGGACCCGCGGUGUAUUAGCUAGUUGGUGAGGUAACGGCUCACCAAGGCAACGAUACAUAGCCGACCUGAGGGGUGGAGCGGCCACACUGGGACUGAGACACGGCCCAGGCUCCUGCGGGAGGCAGCAGUAGGGAAUCUUCCGCAAUGGAUGAAAGUCUGACGGAGCAAUGCCGCGUGAGUGAAGAAGGUUUUCGGAUCGUAAAACUCUGUUGUAAGGGAAGAACAAUUACGUUAGUAACUGAACGUACCUUGACGGUACCUGACCAGAAAGCCACGGCUAACUACGUG
rnacentral:rRNA from 1 species